rnacentral:rRNA from 1 species
CGGCGACUAGCUUAACAACAUAGCAAGUACGAACGGGAAGGUAGGGUGGUUUCCUACGUAGGCGAACGGGUAGGAGUAACGACGUAAGAACCUAGCCUUCGGAGGGGAACGAACAAACUGGAAACGGUUAGGCUAAUACCCCGUACGGCUGAGGAGGCAAAAGGAGAAAUACCGCCCAACGGAGGGGCGUCGCGUCUGAUUAGCUAGUUGGUGAGGCAAUAGCUUACCAAGGCGAUGAUCAGUAGCUGGUCCGAGAGGAUGAUCAGCCACACUGGGACUGAGACACGGCCCAGACUCCUACGGGAGGGCAGCAGUGGGGAAUUUUCCGCAAUGGGCGAAAGCCUGACGGAGCAAUGCCGCGUGGAGGUGGAAGGCCUACGGGUCGUCAACUUCUUUUCUCGGAGAAGAAACAAUGACGGUAAUCUGAGGAAUAAGCAUCGGCUAACUCUGUG